UACGUAGGGGUGCGAGCGUUAAUCGGAAUUACUGGGCGUAAAGCGUGCGCAGGCGGUGAUGUAAGACAGGUGUGAAAUCCCCGGGCUUAACCUGGGAACUGCAUUUGUGACUGCAUCGCUGGAGUGCGGCAGAGGGGGAUGGAAUUCCGCGUGUAGCAGUGAAAUGCGUAGAUAUGCGGAGGAACACCGAUGGCGAAGGCAAUCCCCUGGGCCUGCACUGACGCUCAUGCACGAAAGCGUGGGGAGCAAACAGG
rnacentral:rRNA from 1 species